AACGAACGCUGGCGGCAGGCCUAACACAUGCAAGUCGAGCGGACCCUUCGGGGUUAGCGGCGGACGGGUGAGUAACGCGUGGGAACGUGCCCUUUGCUUCGGAAUAGCCCUGGGAAACUGGGAGUAAUACCGGAUACGCCCUUUUUGGGAAAGAUUUAUCGGCGAAGGAUCGGCCCGCGUUGGAUUAGGUAGUUGGUGGGGUAAUGGCCUACCAAGCCGACGAUCCAUAGCUGGUUUGAGAGGAUGAUCAGCCACACUGGGACUGAGACACGGCCCAGACUCCUACGGGAGGCAGCAGUGGGGAAUCUUAGACAAUGGGGGAAACCCUGAUCUAGCCAUGCCGCGUGAGCGAUGAAGGCCUUAGGGUUGUAAAGCUCUUUCACCGGGGAAGAUAAUGACGGUACCCGGAGAAGAAGCCCCGGCUAACUCCGUG
rnacentral:rRNA from 1 species